rnacentral:rRNA from 1 species
CCUACGGGAGGCAGCAGUGAGGAAUAUUGGUCAAUGGCCGGAAGCCUGAACCAGCCAAGUCGCGUGAGGGAUGACGGCCCUAUGGGUUGUAAACUUCUUUUAUAAGGGAAUAAUGAAUGCUACGUGUUGCUUUAUGUCUGUACCAUAUGAAUAAGCAUCGGCUAACUCCGUGCCAGCAGCCGCGGUAAUACGGAGGAUGCGAGCGUUAUCCGGAUUUAUUGGGUUUAAAGGGUGCGUAGGCGGUUAAUUAAGUUAGGGGUGAAAGUUUGGGGGUUAAACUUCAAAUUGCCGUUGAUACUGGUUGACUUGAGUUCAGACGAGGUAGGCGGAAUGAGUGGAGUAGCGGUGAAAUGCAUAGAUAUCACGUAGAACUCCGAUAGCGAAGGCAGCUUACUAGACUACAACUGACGCUGAAGCACGAGAGCGUGGGUAGCAAACAGGAUUAGAUACCCGUGUAGUC